GACCUCCUGGGAUGUGCGUUGUUCUAUUGUUUUUAACCCACAGAAUGUAUACGGGAUUCCGAGUUUGCAGGUGGAUAACAUGCCCCCAAUGCUGAGGGGAAGUUAGAAGCCGGCAACAGGUUUCCCACCUGCCGAGGGGCGGGUAUUAAAAUCAUAGAAGGACGGCAUCUUGGGGCUCA
rnacentral:other from 1 species